CUAAUCUCAGGGGUACCUGGGCAUAUUCAUACACAAGUGUACAAGGAAAGAGCUUUGCACUGGGAGUAGCAGAGACACACAAGAUUGGUCAGAGCUUUUCUUGUUGGCUUCUUUAUGGUUAUUUCACCUGAGUGUGUAAAAUCAGGGGAACCUCAGAAGCUCCCCUAGAUCCUGCCUAGCACCUCUGCUCUCAGCAGAAUAACUUAAUUCAUACCUGGACCACAAAGCACAGGACCUCAGACCUCCAAGAUAUGCCAAUUCAGCAAGAGGAUGAGGGACGUUACCUGUAUUCUGUUUCAUCCAGGAAGGUGGAGAGGCAGCAGCAGUGGAGGAGAAAGGAAGGAGUCAGCACAGCAUCUCUACUGGACUCAACCAGAGGCACUGGAAUACACUGGAACCCUUCUGAUGAAUGGACUUCAACAUAUCCUGAACCCAGCCAGCAUGAGCAAGAGGCACUGGUGUGCUCCAACACCCUUCCCCACUCCCUCCUGAAUCAGAAGAGCAUUUGUAAAACAAUGAAUGGAAGAAGCAGAAGACAGUUGAGUCAGGAAGUCUCUCAAAAUUAUCUGCUUAUUAAGAAGUGAUUAAAAUAUGUUUGGGCAUAUUGACUUCAGUCUGUCCUUGUUUUAAUAUUUAUGUGUUAUCUUGAAUAACUGUUCUUUAGCCACACACUAGUAUUUAUGGAUUUCUUAUCCUUGUCUCUUGUGUCUGGAUGGCUGUGAUGAGAUACAAAGAUAAAAUAGAAAGACUAAUUCUGAAAUCAAUGAAUUAGAGAUUUAAGACAUUGAUAUUUCAUUGCUUAUCUCUGUAGAGAUAAGGGAUUAAUAUGCAAACAGUAAAAUGUAUUGUGCCAUUUUGUUGUACCUGACAGGCCUCAGAAUAACUCAAAAGUUUGGGUUUUGUCAGGAUUAA